GACGAACGCUGGCGGCGUGCUUAACACAUGCAAGUCGAGCGGUAAGGCCCUUUCGGGGGUACACGAGCGGCGAACGGGUGAGUAACACGUGGGUGACCUGCCCUUAGCUCUGGGAUAAGCCUGGGAAACUGGGUCUAAUACCGGAUAUGACUCCAUGACGCAUGUUGUGGGGUGGAAAGCCUUGUGCGGCUAGGGAUGGGCCCGCGGCCUAUCAGCUUGUUGGUGGGGUGAUGGCCUACCAAGGCGACGACGGGUAGCCGGCCUGAGAGGGCGACCGGCCACACUGGGACUGAGACACGGCCCAGACUCCUACGGGAGGCAGCAGUGGGGAAUCUUGCGCAAUGGGCGAAAGCCUGACGCAGCGACGCCGCGUGAGGGAUGAAGGCCU
rnacentral:rRNA from 1 species